rnacentral:tRNA from 1 species
GCAGGGGUAGUCCAGUAGGAGAAUUAUCACCUUUCAUGUGAGAGACCAGGGUUCAAUUCCUGGUCAAUGCA